rfam:Mobiluncus mulieris ATCC 35239 genomic scaffold SCAFFOLD1, whole genome shotgun sequence.
GUCUUGCUCUGGGGGCUGUGUAAAUCAGCACCGGUGGUGAAAGUCCACGAGCGCUCGCCCAAUGGCGAGGGUUGAGCUGGUGAAAUUCCAGCACCGACGGUAAAAGUCCGGAUGGGAAGAGCCUUAG